CUCAUAGCGUAUACUAAUGUUGCUGCAGUUAAAAAGCUCGUAGUCGAAUUUCAGUUUGCUUAUACUUAACCUUUUAGGCUUAUGUAUUGGCUUACUUUAUGAUAGAAACAUUCAUGCUAUUUAUUUAGUGUGUUUUGGGACUGUCUCUUUUACUUUGAGAAAAUUAGAGUGUUCAAAGCAGGUAUUUGCCUGAAUAUUACUCUUGGAAUAAUAAUAUAGGACUUCAGUUCUAGUUUGUUGGUGAUCUAGGACCGAAGUAAUGAUAGAUAGGGACGGUUGGGGUCAUUCAUACUGCAAAGCGAGAGGUGAAAUUCUUGGACCUUUGUAUGAUGAACAACUGCGAAAGCAUUUGACUAGGACGUACCCGUUGAUCAAGAACGAAAGUUGGGGGAUCGAAGACGAUCAGAUACCGUCGUAGUCUCAACCAUAAACUAUGCCAGCUAGGGAUGGGAGGAUGUUUUUUUAACGAUUCCUUCCGCACCUUAUGAGAAAUCAAAGCAUUUGGGUUCCGGGGGGAGUAUGGUCGCAAGGCUGAAACUUAAAGGAAUUGACGGGAGGGCACCACCAGGAGUGGAGCCUGUGGCUUAAUUUGACUCAACACGGGAAAACUUACCAGGUC
rnacentral:rRNA from 1 species